rnacentral:rRNA from 1 species
UUUUAAAUGGCCGCAGUAAUUUGACUGUGCAAAGGUAGCAUAAUCAGUAGUCUUUUAAUUGAAGGCUUGUAUGAACGGUUGGACGAAGUAUAAACUGUUUCAUAUAAAUUUAUUUUAGAAUUUUAUAUUUUAGUUAAAAAGCUAAAAUUUUAUUAAAAGACGAGAAGACCCUAUAAAUCUUUAUAUUUUAUGUUAUUUAAGUUUUUUGAUUUUAUUUUAUUUUUAUAAUAUAWAAUAUUUUGUUGGGGUGAUGUUAAAAUUUAAUUAACUUUUAAUUUUUUAAAAUCAUUAAUUUAUGAAUUAUUGAUCCAUUAAUAUUGAUUAUAAGAUUAAGUUACUUUAGGGAUAACAGCGUAAUUUUUUUUGAGAGUUCAUAUCGAUAAAAAAGUUUGCGACCUCGAUGUUGGAUUAAGGUAUAAUUUUGGGUGUAGCUGUUCAAAUAUUAAGUCUGUUCGACUUUUAAAUUCUUACAUGAUC